AUGCAGCCAUGCCGCGUGUAUGAAGAAGGCCUUCGGGUUGUAAAGUACUUUCAGUUGUGAGGAAGGGGGUAACGUUAAUAGCGCUAUCUCUUGACGUUAGCAACAGAAGAAGCACCGGCUAACUCCGUGCCAGCAGCCGCGGUAAUACGGAGGGUGCGAGCGUUAAUCGGAAUUACUGGGCGUAAAGCGCAUGCAGGUGGUUCAUUAAGUCAGAUGUGAAAGCCCGGGGCUCAACCUCGGAACUGCAUUUGAAACUGGUGAACUAGAGUACUGUAGAGGGGGGUAGAAUUUCAGGUGUAGCGGUGAAAUGCGUAGAGAUCUGAAGGAAUACCAGUGGCGAAGGCGGCCCCCUGGACAGAUACUGACACUCAGAUGCGAAAGCGUGGGGAGCAAACAGGAUUAGAUACCCUGGUAGUCCACGCCGUAAACGAUGUCUACUUGGAGGUUGUGGCCUUGAGCCGUGGCUUUCGGAGCUAACGCGUUAAGUAGACCGCCUGGGGAGUACGGUCGCAAGAUUAAAACUCAAAUGAAUUGACGGGGGCCCGCACAAGCGGUGGAGCAUGUGGUUUAAUUCGAUGCAACGCGAAGAACCUUACCUACUCUUGACAUCCAGAGAAGCCAGCGGAGACGCAGGUGUGCCUUCGGGAGCUCUGAGACAGGUGCUGCAUGGCUGUCGUCAGCUCGUGUUGUGAAAUGUUGGGUUAAGUCCCGCAACGAGCGCAACCCUUAUCCUUGUUUGCCAGCGAGUAAUGUCGGGAA
rnacentral:rRNA from 1 species